rnacentral:rRNA from 1 species
GACGAACGCUGGCGGCGUGCUUAACACAUGCAAGUCGAACGGUGAAGGGACCGGUUUUUGCUGGUUCUGGAUGAGUGGCGAACGGGUGAGUAACACGUGAGUAACCUGCCCCCUUCUUCUGGAUAACCGCAUGAAAGUGUGGCUAAUACGGGAUAUUCUGCGCCUGCUGCAUGGUGGGUGUGGGAAAGAUAUUGUUUCGGUGGGGGAUGGGCUCGCGGCCUAUCAGCUUGUUGGUGGGGUGAUGGCCUACCAAGGCGGUGACGGGUAGCCGGCCUGAGAGGGUGGACGGUCACACUGGGACUGAGACACGGCCAAGACUCCUACGGGAGGCAGCAGUGGGGAAUAUUGCACAAUGGGCGCAAGCCUGAUGCAGCGACGCCGCGUGAGGGAUGGAGGCCUUCGGGUUGUAAACCUCUUUCGCCAGUGAAGCAGGCCUGUCCCUUUUGUGGGUGGGUUGACGGUAGCUGGAUAAGAAGCGCCGGCUAACUACGUG